GACGAACGCUGGCGGCGUGCCUAAUACAUGCAAGUAGAACGCAGUUGCGAACAGGUGCGUAACGCGUAGGUAACUGCCUCAACGCGGGGGUUAACUAUUGGAAACGCUAGCUAAUACCGCCUACUGUGAGCUGGACCUGCGGUGUAUUAGCUAGUUGGUGAGGUAAAGGCUCACCAAAGCGACGAUACAUAGCCGACCUGAGAGGGGUAAUGGCCACACGUGGACUUAGACAAGGCCCAGACGCCUACGGGAGGCAGCAGUAGGGAAUCUUCGGCAAUGGACGGAAGUCUGACCAAGCAACGCCGGGGGAGGGAAGAAGGUUUUCGGGUCGGAAAGAUCUGGUGUUAGAGGAACGGUAACUAACCAGAAAGGGACGGCUAACUACGUGCCAGCCGCCGAGGUAAUUC
rnacentral:rRNA from 1 species